rnacentral:rRNA from 1 species
GAGUUUGAUUCUGGCUCAGAUUGAACGCUGGCGGCAUGCUUUACACAUGCAAGUCGAACGGCAGCACAAGGAGCUUGCUCCUGGGUGGCGAGUGGCGAACGGGUGAGUAAUGUAUCGGAACGUGCCUGGUAGUGGGGGAUAACCACUCGAAAGAGUGGCUAAUACCGCAUGAGAUCUCUGGAUGAAAGCGGGGGACCUUUGGGCCUCGCGCUACUGGAGCGGCCGAUAUCAGAUUAGGUUGUUGGUGGGGUAAAGGCCUACCAAGCCUGCGAUCUGUAGCUGGUCUGAGAGGACGACCAGCCACACUGGGACUGAGACACGGCCCAGACUCCUACGGGAGGCAGCAGUGGGGAAUUUUGGACAAUGGGCGCAAGCCUGAUCCAGCAAUGCCGCGUGCAGGACGAAGGCCCUCGGGUUGUAAACUGCUUUUGUACAGAACGAAAAGUCUCUGGCUAAUACCUGGGGAUCAUGACGGU